rnacentral:rRNA from 1 species
UACCGCCCUAGUUCUGACCGUAAACGAUGCCAACUAGCGAUCCGCCGGUGGAUUCUUUGCCCUGGUGGGGAGCUUCCCGGAAACGAAAGUCUUCCGGUUCCGGGGGAAGUAUGGUUGCAAAGCUGAAACUUAAAGGAAUUGACGGAAGGGCACCACCAGGAGUGGAGCCUGCGGCUUAAUUUGACUCAACACGGGGAAACUCACCCGGCCCGGACACCGUAAGGAUUGACAGAUUGAUAGCUUUUUCAUGAUUCGGUGGAUGGUGGUGCAUGGCCGUUCUUAGUUCGUGGAGCGAUUUGUCUGGUUUAUUCCGAUAACGAGCGAGACUCUAGCCUAUUAAAUAGUUUACCCAUUGCCUCUGUGGGCAGAACUUCUUAGAGGGAUUUUCGGUGUUCAACCGCACGAAAUUGAGCAAUAACAGGUCUGUGAUGCCCUUAGAUGUCCGGGGCUGCACGCGCGCUACACUGGUAAAAUCAGCGUGCUUGUCCUUCCCCGAAAGGGGUUGGUAAACCCUUGAAAAUUUGCCGUGAUUGGGAUCGGAAAUUGCAAUUAUUUUCCGUGAACGAGGAAUUCCAAGUAAGUGCGAGUCAUCAACUCGCGUUGAUUACGUCCCU